UUUGUUUUACUGUUAUGAGUAACUAUUUCAUUGGCAUUUUCUCAACCAUUUUGAGGUGAAAAGUUGUUGACAUAUUUUGUGACAAAUUGAUGGGAUUUUUUAUCAGGCCUUGUUUCUAAAAUUAUUUAGUUUUCACUACUUAAACUCGUAUAUUAUCAAGUUCAAAUUCUGUUCUUUGAUUUACGUCCUCAUGAUUUUGAUUGAAAGUCGAGUUAAGAAAAUGGUUUUAAAAAUAUUAUUUUUUCAGAUAAAAUGGCUCGGCGUGGGCCCCCUCCAGAUACCAGCAGGAUGGUGUCGCUGAAGGUGGACGGGUUGUCUCACAGGACCAACCUGGAGGACCUAGAGUCCUUGUUCGACAAGUAUGGAAAGGUUGGAGAUGUUUAUAUUCCUAAGGAUUACAGAACUAAAGAGAACCGUGGGUUUGGGUUUGUCAGAUACUUUAACAAGGACGAUGCAGAGGACGCCAUUGAUGCUCUGGAUGGUAGAAAGUUUGAUGGUCGUGAGUUGAGUGUUCAAUAUGCUCGCUACGAUCGACCUGAUCGCGAUUACGGUGGUGGUCGAGGUGGGGGUGGUGACCGAGGGGGUCGAGGCGGUGGCCGUCGAUCCAGAUCAAGAUCCCGUGGAGGUCGGAGAGGAGGUCGAUCCCCGGACCGGUCUCGAGGCCGUGAUCGUGAUCGCUCUAGGGAUCGUAACCGCUCCCGAACUCCGCGGGAUCGCUCUAGGGAUCGCAAGAAAUCUCGAUCUAGGUCUGUUGAUUCUGAUUCCCGCAGAAGACGUCAUUCCGGGCGAUCUGAUCGAUCAGACGACUAGACACCAAGGAGAUGAAAACUUCCUGAUUGCAUUCAACUCAUUUAUGCAUUGAGAUAAUCUCGGUACAGAAUGGACCUUUUCUCAAAAUUCAGUCACAGCGUUUUAAUUUGUUCUCAAAUGUUUAAGUUCUUCAAUAAAAUUUUGAGCUUAAAA
rnacentral:misc_RNA from 1 species